AUUGAAACUCUACAUACUAUUUCAGUUUUCUACUUUUUAAGGAAAUUUCCCUAUAAUUCCAAUUAGGCAUUUGAUGUCAUCCUCUUGUCAUCAAUCAGCACUAAUCAUGGGCGAACAACAUGGUAUGCCUUGCCAAAUAUUAGAAGCAAGUCCAUCUACAACAAGUGCAAAGAUUCAUCUACGAUAUAAUGCAGAAUGCUGCCAUAGGUUCACCAUGACAAGACUCGUGCCUUCAUGCAACACUUCUAACAGUUUUCACUAUCGUGUCCCCUCCCUCAAAUAAAAUUAAACAUAAAAUAGCUCGCUAGCCUACAAUUGUCCACCAGUCCCACCAUCUUUUGGUUGAUAUUUUUCCUCCACAAUUACUCUUUCAACUAACAGGUUUGUCUCUUAAAAGCAAAAAACAUUCAGCUUAUAUUGUUGAUUACCUCUUAUUCACUUCCUUACAUCAAAACCAUCCCCACAAUCCCCUUUUAAAAUACAAACACAAAACCUUCAUUAACACCUCCCAAAUGGGUGGAAGCGGCAUCUUAUCGAACAUUGACAUCGGCAAAAGUGGCCAAGUUCCCUCACUUAUUGAUUUCUUCAUCUAUCACCACAAGCUAAGGAUAAACUCACAAGUUCCAAGUUGAUCAACUCCUAAUUUUUGAUUUCUUCCUCUGAAACUCUCCUUAUAUCCUUAUAUUCCUCAUGCCCACCCUUCUUUUUAAAACUUAUAAGAAAGCUAAUGCAUGCAAAGAUGAUCUCAACUAUUCUCCAGACCAGGAAGACUUAAGAGAUUUGAUGAUUCCAAAAAUGCCGCAUCCUGUGCAUUGGUUUGGGAAAAAUAUUGUUUUUCUCCACCAAGUUUCAACCAAAAAGUGUCUCAUGUGUUAUAACAUUCCUAUCUUUCAUUUUACUGACAUCAGACCAACACAAUGUCCAGACCAUAGAGACUAGGUUAUGAAAUAUCCAGACAAGCCAGGACAGAUUUGCAUUGACAUUUACUCCCACAUUUAUCACUGUCUUGGCAAGAUUGUGCUCUCCCAGUACAACUAUCCGCAAAGACAACUGGACUUUCUGGAGGCUUUCUGCUUCAAAAAAUAUAUACAUAUCUCCAUCUUAGUCUAACCAUUUGUCCUUAAGCAAUCACCUCCUCACAAAUAAUCAUUCUAAUCUUUCUUCUCUCGCAUCAUUCAAUAUUGCUGAUUUCCACCAUAAUUUUGAGUCCAAAUCUUCAAAAUCUCCAUUUGAAACACCAACAGUAGAAUUCUCUACCCCUUAACACUCCAAUCCCUCCCUUUCACCGAAUUCUGCGUAUUCUAACCACUUCUUGUAUCGCAACUAAUUCAAAACCCACUGUCCUCAAAAAUAUCAACUUUUAUUGGGCUAUGAUCUCACGGUAGCCUAGGCAAGCCCCAAACAAGUGUUAAGAGCAAAAUGAUAGACAUAAUCAGCUACAAACAAGAAGCCCUUUUUUGGGACCAAAGGCAUCACCAUUCCAGAAACCUAUCAAUCUUUAACAUGGAAAACAAAAAAACAAACAAAUUGACACAAUAAACCCAAAUAAGGCCAAGAAAAAACCGAAACAGUAAAGUUUAUGCCCUUUUUCAUAACUCGGACAAAAAAACUAAUAUAUGAAUUGAUGCAGCAAAGAUAUCUUGUGAAUCCAAGAAAGAAA
rnacentral:lncRNA from 1 species